GUCGAACGGAKGUAGCAAUACAUUAGUGGCGUACGGGUGCGUAACGCGUAAACAAUCUACCUCAUACUGGGGGAUAGCCCUGGGAAACCGGGAGUAAGCCCGCAUGGUACCACGAGAUUUCAUGGUUUUGUGGUUAAAGAUUUAUCGGUAUGAGAUGAGUUUGCGUCUGAUUAGUUAGUUGGCGGGGUAACGACCCACCAAGACGAUGAUCAGUAGGGGCUCUGAGAGGAGCGGCCCCCACACUGGCACUGAGACACGGGCCAGACUCCUACGGGAGGCAGCAGUAGGGAAUAUUGGGCAAUGGAGGCAACUCUGACCCAGCCAUGCCGCGUGCAGGAUGAAGGCGCUCAGCGUUGUAAACUGCUUUUAUCAGGGAAGAACUGUAGUCCUGCGGGAUUAUUUGACGGUACCUGAGGAAUAAGCACCGGCUAACUCCGUGCCAGCAGCCGCGGUAAUACGGAGGGUGCAAGCGUUGUCCGGAUUUAUUGGGUUUAAAGGGUGCGUAGGUGGGGUCUCAAGUCUGGUUUGAAAGUCGGCGGCUUAACCGUUGGAUGUGGCUGGAAACUGGGAUUCUUGAAUGCGCUGGCGGUAGCGGGAACGGGUCAUGUAGCGGUGAAAUGCAUAGAUAUGACCU
rnacentral:rRNA from 1 species